rnacentral:rRNA from 1 species
UAGGGAAUCUUCGGCAAUGGGGGGAACCCUGACCGAGCAACGCCGCGUGAGUGAAGAAGGUUUUCGGAUCGUAAAGCUCUGUUGUUAAGGAAGAACGAGUGUGAGAAUGGAAAGUUCAUGCUGUGACGGUACUUAACCAGAAAGGGACGGCUAACUACGUGCCAGCAGCCGCGGUAAUACGUAGGUCCCGAGCGUUGUCCGGAUUUAUUGGGCGUAAAGCGCGCGCAGGCGGUUAGAAAAGUCUGAAGUGAAAGGCAGUGGCUCAACCAUUGUAGGCUUUGGAAACUGUUUAACUUGAGUGCAGAAGGGGAGAGUGGAAUUCCAGGUGUAGCGGUGAAAUGCGUAGAUAUAUGGAGGAACACCGGUGGCGAAAGCGGCUCUCAGGUCUGUAACUGACGCUGAGGCUCGAAAGCGUGGGGAGCGAACAGG